UACGUAGGGUCCGAGCGUUGUCCGGAAUUAUUGGGCGUAAAGGGCUCGUAGGCGGUUUGUCGCGUCGGGAGUGAAAACACGGGGCUUAACCCCGUGCCUGCUUCCGAUACGGGCAGACUAGAGGUAUGCAGGGGAGAACGGAAUUCCUGGUGUAGCGGUGAAAUGCGCAGAUAUCAGGAGGAACACCGGUGGCGAAGGCGGUGGUCUGGGCCGGCACUGACGCUGAGGAGCGAAAGCGUGGGUAGCAAACAGG
rnacentral:rRNA from 1 species